UACGGAGGGUGCAAGCGUUAUCCGGAUUCACUGGGUUUAAAGGGAGCGUAGGUGGGAUGGUAAGUCAGUGGUGAAAUCUCCGGGCUUAACUCGGAAACUGCCGUUGAUACUAUCGUUUCUUGAAUAUUGUGGAGGUAAGCGGAAUAUGUCAUGUAGCGGUGAAAUGCUUAGAUAUGACAUAGAACACCAAUAGCGAAGGCAGCUUGCUACACAAUUAUUGACACUGAGGCUCGAAAGCGUGGG
rnacentral:rRNA from 1 species